AGGUGGUGGGCCAGGCCUAUGGAGAAAGAGAGCUUACUGCUCCGAUGCAGACGAGCAGUACAAGAUGGACAGAUUUCAUUUCCCAGAGAUGCUGAACCCUGCACAAGGUGGAAGGGCCUAGGCGCACAGUCCCGGACCUCUCCGGACAAGUCGGAUCCGCCUAACCAGCUGCGCGAUACCCCGAUGUGAUCCUAGCCGUCCUGCAAACCCAGGCGCUCACCGAGAAGCCGACUCACCCUCUGGCUCUGCAGAGAGUGGCCCCACUGCGCAAGGACUGUUGGGGCCGAAAAGGAUUCAUCUUAUGAGGAGAGAAGCUGGGGUCCGGAGACCCCAGUCUCACCUUGAGGCAAAAAGAAGGGAGGUACCUACCUUCCAACCACUGCGAACUUUCUAAAGCUCCGCGCCUCAGCUUGUGGCUCUCACGCUACAUGAGAAAAGCAGGGACGUCAGCAAGAACAUCAUGGCUAGGGGGCGGCCAGAGACCACUGGAUCGUGCUGUCAGACUCGGAAGACCAAGGUAAAAGAUUUGCUUGCUCCUGAGCGCUGGAAGAGCUGAUGGACUCAGCGUCUUUGAGCUUCCAGCACAAUACUACCUUUGAAGCCUUACAAUUGCCUUGUGUGAUGGGGAGCCUGGAGGAUCGGAACCUGAACUCUUUGAGCCUCUUCUACUUGCGAGCACAACAUUCAGUCCUGAGGAAAAGGAGUGGGAUGGACAUCAAUCCGGUCUACACUGGUCUUCACGGCAGCCCCCUUUUAUUUUGUUUUAUAAUUUCACUGAAUUGUCCAUACUGGCCUUAAAACUUGGAAUCCUUAGUCUAAUGCCUUAGACUCCAGCAUUUCAGGCAAAAACUGCUGUGUCCAGUCUAGAGAGCAUUUUGGUGAACCACCUCUGUAAGACUGAGCUCCAGAGAUGGGGUCAAGCACCCAGUUUUGAGUUCCUAACGCCCUGCCUCUCCCAUGUGUGGCACAGUAUCUGCCUAAUAAAUUCAUGUGGAAAGAUUG